UACGUAGGGUGCGAGCGUUAAUCGGAAUUACUGGGCGUAAAGCGUGCGCAGGCGGUUUUGUAAGCCAGAUGUGAAAUCCCCGGGCUUAACCUGGGAAUGGCCUGGAAACUGGCGAACUGGAGUGUGGCAGAGGGGGGUGGAAUUCCGGCGUGUAGCAGGUGGAAAUGCGUAGAGAUGACGGAGGACACCGAUGGCGAAGGCAGCCCCCCUGGGCUGAGCACUGACGCCUCGAGGCACGAAAGCGUGGGGAGCAAACAGG
rnacentral:rRNA from 1 species